GCUCCCGUGAGGGAAACAACACACAGUGGGAGUGCGUAUGGAACAGCUCAGCGCUCACCGGCCAUCUGUUUCCUUCCGCAGGCGGGGAAUAGUCUCUCCCCCGUCACUCACACUAAGGUCAUAGAAGUAAUGAGGAAAAAUCGUACACGAUUAGCAAGAGCCAUAGCCUGCAAAUCAUUUCUCACGAUUCCCAGCUCAAAGAAGAAAACUCCUUACACCAGUCAGCUGCAUACUAUGUCAACUGAGUCGGCAUUCCCACCCUAAAACACAUUCCCAGUGUGGGCUCUUCCCUGUGUGAUGUCACAGAAACCGGAAUGGGAACUCGGAAAGGAGUCUAACCAGGACUAAGCAUCUGUGCUCUGUAAA